rnacentral:rRNA from 1 species
UACGAAGGGGGCUAGCGUUGUUCGGAAUUACUGGGCGUAAAGCGUGCGCAGGCGGCUUCUCAAGUCAGGGGUGAAAGCCCAGAGCUCAGCUCUGGAAUUGCCUUUGAGACUGAGUGGCUUGAGUACGAGAGAGGUGAGUGGAAUUCCCAGUGUAGAGGUGAAAUUCGUAGAUAUUCGGAAGAACACCAGUGGCGAAGGCGGCUCACUGGACCGGUAUUGACGCUGAGGUGCGAAAGCGUGGGGAGCAAACAGG